UUUUACUUAAUUCUUACGUAA
rnacentral:piRNA from 1 species